rnacentral:rRNA from 1 species
CCUACGGGUGGCAGCAGUGGGGAAUAUUGCACAAUGGGGGAAACCCUGAUGCAGCGACGCCGCGUGGGUGACGAAGUAUUUCGGUAUGUAAAGCCCUAUCAGCAGGGAAGAAGAUGACAGUACCUGACCAAGAAGCCCCGGCUAACUACGUGCCAGCAGCCGCGGUAAUACGUAGGGGGCAAGCGUUAUCCGGAUUUACUGGGUGUAAAGGGAGCGUAGGUGGCAUGGCAAGCCAGAAGUGAAAACCCGGGGCUUAACCGCGCGGAUUGCUUUUGGAACUGUCAGGCUGGAGUGCAGGAGGGGCAGGCGGAAUUCCUGGUGUAGCGGUGAAAUGCGUAGAUAUCAGGAGGAACACCGGUGGCGAAGGCGGCCUGCUGGACUGUAACUGACACUGAGGCUCGAAAGCGUGGGGAGCAAACAGGAUUAGAUACCCUAGUAGUC